UACGGAGGGUGCAAGCGUUAAUCGGAAUCACUGGGCGUAAAGCGCGCGUAGGCGGCCGUAUAAGUCAGAUGUGAAAGCCCCGGGCUUAACCUGGGAACUGCAUUUGAUACUGUGCGGCUCGAGUCUGAGAGAGGGGGGUGGAAUUCCAGGUGUAGCGGUGAAAUGCGUAGAGAUCUGGAGGAACACCAGUGGCGAAGGCGGCCCCCUGGUUCAUGACUGACGCUGAGGUGCGAAAGCGUGGGGAG
rnacentral:rRNA from 1 species